rnacentral:rRNA from 1 species
AGUGAACGCUGGCGGCGUGCCCAACACAUGCAAGUCGAACGAUGAUGGAGGAGCUUGCUCUUCCUGAUUAGUGGCGCACGGGUGAGUAAUGCAUAGAUAAUGUGCCCCUUAGUUCGGGAUAGCCACUGGAAACGGUGAUUAAUACCGGAUACUCCUUCUUAUCAUAAGAUAAGUCGGGAAAGUUUUUCGCUAAGGGAUCAGUCUAUGUUCCAUCAGUUAGUUGGUGAGGCAACGGCUCACCAAGACAAUGACGGAUAUCUGGUUUGAGAGGAUGAUCAGACACACUGGAACUGAGACACGGUCCAGACUCCUACGGGAGGCAGCAGUGAGGAAUAUUGCACAAUGGAGGAAACUCUGAUGCAGCAACGCCGCGUGGAGGAUGACGCAUUUCGGUGUGUAAACUCCUUUUAUUAGGGAAGAUUAUGACGGUACCUAAUGAAUAAGCACCGGCUAACUCCGUGCCAGCCGCCGCCGUAA